rnacentral:rRNA from 1 species
UGGGGAAUUUUGGACAAUGGGCGAAAGCCUGAUCCAGCAAUGCCGCGUGUGUGAAGAAGGCCUUCGGGUUGUAAAGCACUUUUGUCCGGAAAGAAAUCCUUGGCUCUAAUACAGUCGGGGGAUGACGGUACCGGAAGAAUAAGCACCGGCUAACUACGUGCCAGCAGCCGCGGUAAUACGUAGGGUGCAAGCGUUAAUCGGAAUUACUGGGCGUAAAGCGUGCGCAGGCGGUUUGCUAAGACCGAUGUGAAAUCCCCGGGCUCAACCUGGGAACUGCAUUGGUGACUGGCAGGCUAGAGUAUGGCAGAGGGGGGUAGAAUUCCACGUGUAGCAGUGAAAUGCGUAGAGAUGUGGAGGAAUACCGAUGGCGAAGGCAGCCCCCUGGGCCAAUACUGACGCUCAUGCACGAAAGCGUGGGGAGCAAACAGGAUUAGAUACCCUGGUAGUCCACGCCCUAAACGAUGUCAACUAGUUGUUGGGGAUUCAUUUCCUUAAUAACGUAGCUAACGCGUGAAGUUGACCGCCUGGGGAGUACGGUCGCAAGAUUAAAACUCAAAGGAAUUGACGGGGUCAUAGCUGUUU